rnacentral:rRNA from 1 species
CACACGAGUUUGAUCCUGGCUCAGGAUGAACGCUAGCGGCAGGCUUAAUACAUGCAAGUCAAGGGGGUAGCAAUACAACCGGCGCACGGGUGAGUAACGCGUACACAACAUACCAUAUACUGGGGUAUAGCUUCGGGAAACUGGAGAUAAUCCCCCAUAACAUUGCGAGAGGGCAUCUGAUUGCAAUUAAAGUUUCGACGGUAUAUGAUUGGUGUGCGUUUGAUUAGCUUGUUGGUAGGGUAACGGCCUACCAAGGCGACGAUCAAUAGCUGGCGUGAGAGCGCGACCAGCCACACUGGAACUGAGACACGGUCCAGACUCCUACGGGAGGCAGCAGUAGGGAAUAUUGGACAAUGGGCGAAAGCCUGAUCCAGCCAUGCCGCGUGAUAGAUGAAGGCCCUCUGGGUUGUAAAUAUCUUUUAUCUGGGAAGAAACUCCUCUAUUCUUAGAGGCCUGACGGUACCAGAGGAAUAAGCACCGGCUAACUCCGUG